GACGAACGCUGGCGGCGUGCUUAAUACAUGCAAGUCGAACGGAAAGGCCCUGCUCUUGCGGGGUUCACGAGAGGCGAACGGGUGAGUAACACGUGAGUAACCCGCCCCUGACAGUGGGAUAACUUCAGGAAACAGGGGCUAUUACCGGAUAGGAUCUCUUGCUGCACGGUGGUGGAUGGAAAGAUUCGGCGGUGGUGGAUCGACUCGCGGCUUAUCAGCUUGAUGGGGGAGUAGUGGCUUACCAGGGCUUUGACGGGUAGCCGGCCUGAGAGGGUGACCAGCCACCUUGGGACUACGGUACGGCCCAGUCUCCUACGGGCGGCAGCAGUGGGGAGUUUUGCACAGUGGGCCGACGCCUGAUGCAGCAGCGCCGCGUUCGGGAUGACGGCCUUCGAGUUGUAAACCGCUUUCGACUGUGACGUGGCCUGAGUGACGGUAAUGAGUAAAAAAGCACCGGUUAACUACGUG
rnacentral:rRNA from 1 species